CUCUAAUCAGGAUCCUGAGUACGGCCCAGCACGUGAAAUUGGGUCGGAAUCUGGGAGGACCAUCUCCCAAGGCUAAAUACUAACUAGUGACCGAUAGCGAACAAGUACCGUGAGGGAAAGGUGAAAAGAACCCCGGAAGGGGAGUGAAAUAGUUCUUGAAACCGUGUGCUUACAAGAAGUUCGAGGCCGUUAAUGGCUGAGAGCGUGCUUUUUGUAGAAUGAACCGGAGAGUUACGAUUGCGUGCAAGGUUAAGGUGCAAAGACUGGAGCCGUAGCGAAAGCGAGUCUUAAUAGGGCGAAUCAGUACGUAGUUGUAGACCCGAAACCGAGUGACCUAUCCAUGGUC
rnacentral:rRNA from 1 species